AUACGGAGGGAGCGAGCGUUAAUCGGAAUUACUGGGCGUAAAGCGCGCGUAGGCGGCUUUGUAAGUCGGAUGUGAAAGCCCUGGGCUCAACCUGGGAAUGGCAUUCGAUACUGCAGAGCUAGAGUAUGGUAGAGGGAAGUGGAAUUUCCGGUGUAGCGGUGAAAUGCGUAGAUAUCGGAAGGAACACCAGUGGCGAAGGCGACUUCCUGGGCCAAUACUGACGCUGAGGUGCGAAAGCGUGGGGAGCAAACAGGAUUAGAAACCCUAGUAGUCC
rnacentral:rRNA from 1 species